UACGUAGGGGGCAAGCGUUGUCCGGAAUCAUUGGGCGUAAAGAGCGCGUAGUCGGUCCGGUAAGUCCGCUGUGAAAGUCAAGGGCUCAACCCUUGAAUGCCGGUGGAUACUGUCGGGCUAGAGUCCGGAAGAGGCGAGUGGAAUUCCUGGUGUAGCGGUGAAAUGCGCAGAUAUCAGGAGGAACACCAAUGGCGAAGGCAGCUCGCUGGGACGGUACUGACGCUGAGGCGCGAAAGCGUAGGGAGCAAACAGG
rnacentral:rRNA from 1 species